UGGGGAAUAUUGGACAAUGGGCGAAAGCCUGAUCCAGCCAUGCCGCGUGUGUGAAGAAGGUCUUCGGAUUGUAAAGCACUUUAAGUUGGGAGGAAGGGCAGUAAGCGAAUACCUUGCUGUUUUGACGUUACCGACAGAAUAAGCACCGGCUAACUCUGUGCCAGCAGCCGCGGUAAUACAGAGGGUGCAAGCGUUAAUCGGAAUUACUGGGCGUAAAGCGCGCGUAGGUGGUUCGUUAAGUUGAAUGUGAAAGCCACGGGCUCAACCUGGCAACUGCAUCCAAAACUGGCGAGCUAGAGUAGGGCAGAGGGUGGUGGAAUUUCCUGUGUAGCGGUGAAAUGCGUAGAUAUAGGAAGGAACACCAGUGGCGAUGGCAACCACCUGGGCUCAUACUGACACUGAGGUGCGAAAGCGUGGGGAGCAAACAGG
rnacentral:rRNA from 1 species